rnacentral:rRNA from 1 species
UACGUAGGGGGCAAGCGUUGUCCGGAAUCAUUGGGCGUAAAGAGCGCGUAGGCGGUCCGGUAAGUCGGUUGUGAAAACUGGGGGCUCAACCCUCAGAGGCCGACCGAUACUGUCGGGCUAGAGUCCGGAAGAGGCGAGUGGAAUUCCUGGUGUAGCGGUGAAAUGCGCAGAUAUCAGGAGGAACACCAAUGGUGAAGGCAGCUCGCUGGGACGGUACUGACGCUGAGGCGCGAAAGCGUGGGGAGCAAACAGG